rnacentral:rRNA from 1 species
UGGGGAAUAUUGCACAAUGGGCGAAAGCCUGAUGCAGCAACGCCGCGUGAGCGAAGAAGGUCUUCGGAUCGUAAAGCUCUGUCCUUGGGGAAGAUAAUGACGGUACCCUUGGAGGAAGCCCCGGCUAACUACGUGCCAGCAGCCGCGGUAAUACGUAGGGGGCAAGCGUUAUCCGGAAUUAUUGGGCGUAAAGAGUGCGUAGGUGGUUACCUAAGCAGGGGGUGAAAGGCAUUGGCUUAACCAAUGUUAGCCCCCUGAACUGGGCUACUUGAGUGCAGGAGAGGAAAGCGGAAUUCCUAGUGUAGCGGUGAAAUGCGUAGAUAUUAGGAGGAACACCAGUGGCGAAGGCGGCUUUCUGGACUGUUACUGACACUGAGGCACGAAAGUGUGGGGAGC